rnacentral:rRNA from 1 species
GAUGAACGCUGGCGGCGUGCUUAACACAUGCAAGUCGAGCGAAGCGGUUUAAGUGAAGUUUUCAGAUGGAUCUUAGAUCGACUGAGCGGCGGACGGGUGAGUAACGCGUGGAUAACCUGCCUCACACAGGGGGAUAACAGUUAGAAAUGACUGCUAAUACCGCAUAAGCGCACGGCAUCGCAUGAUGCAGUGUGAAAAACUCCGGUGGUGUGAGAUGGAUCCGCGUCUGAUUAGGUAGUUGGUGGGGUAACGGCCCACCAAGCCGACGAUCAGUAGCCGACCUGAGAGGGUGACCGGCCACAUUGGGACUGAGACACGGCCCAAACUCCUACGGGAGGCAGCAGUGGGGAAUAUUGCACAAUGGGCGAAAGCCUGAUGCAGCGACGCCGCGUGAGUGAAGAAGUAUCUCGGUAUGUAAAGCUCUAUCAGCAGGGAAGAAAAUGACGGUACCUGACUAAGAAG